UACAGAGGUCUCAAGCGUUGUUCAGAUUCAUUGGGCGUAAAGGGCGCGUAGGCGGCGGGGUAAGUCGGGUGUGAAAUCUCAGGGCUCAACCCUGAAACUGCACUCGAUACUGCUCUGCUUGAGGACUGGAGAGGAGACUGGAAUUCACGGUGUAGCAGUGAAAUGCGUAGAUAUCUGGAGGAACACCGGUGGCGAAGGCGGCAUCCUGGACCAACACUGACGCUGAGUGAGCGAAAGCCAGGGGAGCAAACGGG
rnacentral:rRNA from 1 species